CACAGAAGUAGCAACACUUGAGGGAAGAAAGACCAGAAUUUCAGUUUUGGUCAAGUUGAGUUUAAGGAAGUGGGCAGCCAUCCAGUUAGAAAUCGCAGAGAGGCAGUCAGAGACACUAAUCAAGAGGGACGGGGAGAGAUCAGGAGAGGACAGGUAGAUUUGCGUGUCAUCCGCAUAUAAAUGAUAUUGGAAGCCAAAAUGAGCUAAUGAGUUUACCAAGGGAUAGAGAACAG
rnacentral:lncRNA from 1 species